rnacentral:snRNA from 1 species
GUCCCUUCACUGACAUCAGAUAAAUGGAACGAUAAAGAAAAGAUUAGCAUGAAGUUUUUGAAAGGGUGACCCAAAGAAAUCGAGAAAUGGUCCAAAUGCUU